UAAGGAAUAUUGGACAAUGGGGGCAACCCUGAUCCAGCCAUGCCGCGUGAGUGAAGAAGGCCUUCGGGUUGUAAAGCUCUUUCGGAUGUGAAGAUAAUGACAGUAGCAUAAGAAGAAGCUCCGGCUAAACUCGUGCCAGCAGCCGCGGUAAUACGAGUGGAGCGAGCGUUGUUCGGAAUCACUGGGCGUAAAGCGUGCGCAGGCGGUCAUGUAAGUCAGGAGUGAAAUCCCAGAGCUUAACUCUGGAAUGGCUCUUGAAACUGCAUGACUAGAAUCCCGGAGAGGUUGGCGGAAUUCUCAGUGUAGAGGUGAAAUUCGCAGAUAUUGAGAGGAACACCAGUGGCGUAAGCGGCCAACUGGACGGGUAUUGACGCUCAGGCACGAAAGCGUGGGGAUCAAA
rnacentral:rRNA from 1 species